AACGAACGCUGGCGGCAGGCUUAACACAUGCAAGUCGAGCGCCCCGCAAGGGGAGCGGCAGACGGGUGAGUAACGCGUGGGAAUCUACCCAUCUCUACGGAAUAACGCAUGGAAACGUGUGCUAAUACCGUAUACGUCCUUCGGGAGAAAGAUUUAUCGGAGGUGGAUGAGCCCGCGUUGGAUUAGCUAGUUGGUGGGGUAAAGGCCUACCAAGGCGACGAUCCAUAGCUGGUCUGAGAGGAUGAUCAGCCACACUGGGACUGAGACACGGCCCAGACUCCUACGGGAGGCAGUAGUGGGGAAUAUUGGGCAAUGGUCGCAAGCCUGAUCCAGCCAUGCCGCGUGAGUGAUGAAGGCCCUAGGGUUGUAAAGCUCUUUCACCGGUGAAGAUAAUGACGGUAACCGGAGAAGAAGCCCCGGCUAACUUCGUGCCAGCCGCCGCGGUAAGAC
rnacentral:rRNA from 1 species